CUUAAAUGAAUUGAAGACUUCUUCUUCUCGUUCUUAUCAACUGAAACAAUACCCAGAACAAAUUUUAAUCCUGUUCGGUCAAAUUUUAGCUCAAUUCUAAAGAUCUUCUGCUACUUCCGUUUAUCCAUGGAUUUAAGGUAUGAUAACAAAAUGGAUCAAAUGCAAAAGUCUCAAUGUCAGUGGGCACAAAUUUGUAUUUGUUAACAAGAAGACAUAAAUUUUAUAUUGAUAAGAAGAGUAUUUUGUAAGCACAAUUUUGUAUUUCACACUGAUAUUGACAAGAAGAGUAUUUUGUGAGCACAAUUCUGUAUAUCGAUGAAUAACUUCUAAA